UGGGGGGCGGCUACACAUGCAGUCGAGCGGUAACAGAUCCAGCUUGCUGGAUGCUGACGAGCGGCGGACGGGUGAGUAAUGCAUAGGAAUCUGCCCGAUAGUGGGGGAUAACCUGGGGAAACCCAGGCUAAUACCGCAUACGUCCUACGGGAGAAAGGGGGCUCCGGCUCCCGCUAUGGGAUGAGCCUAUGUCGGAUUAGCUAGUUGGUGAGGUAACGGCUCACCAAGGCCACGAUCCGUAGCUGGUCUGAGAGGAUGAUCAGCCACAUCGGGACUGAGACACGGCCCGAACUCCUACGGGAGGCAGCAGUGGGGAAUAUUGGACAAUGGGGGCAACCCUGAUCCAGCCAUGCCGCGUGUGUGAAGAAGGCCCUCGGGUUGUAAAGCACUUUCAGCGAGGAAGAACGCCUAGCGGUUAAUACCCGCUAGGAAAGACAUCACUCGCAGAAGAAGCACCGGCUAACUCCGUGCCAGCAGCCGCGGUAAUACGGAGGGUGCAAGCGUUAAUCGGAAUUACUGGGCGUAAAGCGCGCGUAGGUGGCUUGAUAAGCCGGUUGUGAAAGCCCCGGGCUCAACCUGGGAACGGCAUCCGGAACUGUCAAGCUAGAGUGCAGGAGAGGAAGGUAGAAUUCCCGGUGUAGCGGUGAAAUGCGUAGAGAUCGGGAGGAAUACCAGUGGCGAAGGCGGCCUUCUGGACUGACACUGACACUGAGGUGCGAAAGCGUGGGUAGCAAACAGGAUUAGAUACCCUGGUAGUCCACGCCGUAAACGAUGUCGACCAGCCGUUGGGUGCCUAGCGCACUUUGUGGCGAAGUUAACGCGAUAAGUCGACCGCCUGGGGAGUACGGCCGCAAGGUUAAAACUCAAAUGAAUUGACGGGGGCCCGCACAAGCGGUGGAGCAUGUGGUUUAAUUCGAUGCACCGCGAAGAACCUUACCUACUCUUGACAUCCUGCGAAUUUGGUAAAGAUACCUUAGUGCCUUCGGGAACGCAAAGACAGGUGCUGCUUG
rnacentral:rRNA from 1 species